AUAAAAUGUUGCACAACAUUCUGCUAAACAAGGACCCCAAAUUACAGACACUUGGAGGAAUUUGAGACAUAAUAUUUAGGCAUGAUAUCAUGGUGAAAUUCUAAGGAGACAUUCAUUGCCUCUCCUAGGAGAGAAGGAAGAAUUAAGUCCUAGAUGCAGUUGUACACAGUACUGGUAAAACAACAAAUCCUGUCAGGUAGAGAUAUGAAACUAAGAAGUGCUUUGUAGAUCUGCUGAAGACUUAAAAGUUGUUCUCAACACUGUUUCAACGGUAGCUUUCAGAAAAAAACUUUAGAUAGUAUUUGACAAACUGUAUCUUCUGAACAUUUUUGUCAUGGUCUCUCCCAGAAUUUGUUCUAAGUAAGCAAUUACCCUGGCAAAGUCCUGUCUUUGGAAGA
rnacentral:lncRNA from 1 species